GAUGAACGCUGGCGGCGUGCCUAAUACAUACAAGUCGAGCGAACAGACGAGGAGCUUGCUCCUCUGACGUUAGCGGCGGACGGGUGAGUAACACGUGGAUAACCUACCUAUAAGACUGGGAUAACUUCGGGAAACCGGAGCUAAUACCGGAUAAUAUAUUGAACCGCAUGGUUCAAUAGUGAAAGACGGUUUUGCUGUCACUUAUAGAUGGAUCCGCGCCGCAUUAGCUAGUUGGUAAGGUAACGGCUUACCAAGGCGACGAUGCGUAGCCGACCUGAGAGGGUGAUCGGCCACACUGGAACUGAGACACGGUCCAGACUCCUACGGGAGGCAGCAGUAGGGAAUCUUCCGCAAUGGGCGAAAGCCUGACGGAGCAACGCCGCGUGAGUGAUGAAGGUCUUCGGAUCGUAAAACUCUGUUAUUAGGGAAGAACAAAUGUGUAAGUAACUAUGCACGUCUUGACGGUACCUAAUCAGAAAGCCACGGCUAACUACGUG
rnacentral:rRNA from 1 species